rnacentral:lncRNA from 1 species
CUGGAUAUGGCUAACACUCUCAUUCUACCCUCAACAGAACCAGAAGGAGAACUUUUCUCUGACCAUUCUUUUCCAAGAGGCCAUGAAGACCACUUAUUUCUGUCUACAUCUUCCUUCAGCCAAGCUAUAAAAGGACACACAGUAUAUCAAGUGACUUGAAAGAAGACAUCCUAGCUAUGGUGACUGGAGUCUGGUCACCAUCCAUUCAAAGGUGAGAUCCUAGGAUCACAUGUUUUAACCCACACCUUCUGCACUGGUCUCCAUUCCCCCAUUCUCAGGGAUUACCUGCUGUCCUCAUUACAGGGGCUUCCUAUCUUAGCCUAACCCCUACAGUGCACUUUGAUUUAGAGAAAAAUUGCAACCAGGACAACUUUUCCCCAAUAGUCUGAAUUUAACUUAAAGUUUUCUCAUGAAGGAUGAAUUUCCUGCUGCUUUUCAAUAAAGCAGAAUGUGACUGCGGCAGGUGGGGACACUUCCAUGACAAUAGGAAGGUUCCAUAAAUUAAUGUGUGGAAGAGAAAUCUGUAUUCAUCCUGGCUCAUCUAAGUGGGUUAGAUGAAUGGAUCCAACAUAGGUGGACCUGGGUGGUGGGGACAGGGUGGUGAGCAGGAUAACUGUGUGUACAUGGACAGCAUAGAAAGACCUGGAAGGCAGGAAUAACUUCAGAGAGAGCCUGGGAACAGGGCCAAAUUCAUCCUCAGCUGAGGCUGUG